rnacentral:rRNA from 1 species
UAGGGAAUCUUCCGCAAUGGACGAAAGUCUGACGGAGCGACGCCGCGUGAGCGAAGAAGGUCUUCGGAUCGUAAAGCUCUGUUGUUAGGGAAGAAGAAGUGCCGUUCGAACAGGGCGGCGCGGUGACGGUACCUAACGAGAAAGCCCCGGCUAACUACGUGCCAGCAGCCGCGGUAAUACGUAGGGGGCGAGCGUUGUCCGGAAUUAUUGGGCGUAAAGCGCGCGCAGGCGGUCCCUUAAGUCUGAUGUGAAAGCCCACGGCUUAACCGUGGAGGGUCAGUGGAAACUGGGGGACUUGAGUGCAGAGGAGGGGAGCGGAAUUCCACGUGUAGCGGUGAAAUGCGUAGAGAUGUGGAGGAACACCAGUGGCGAAGGCGGCUCUCUGGUCUGUAACUGACGCUGAGGCGCGAAAGCGUGGGGAGCAAACAGG